rnacentral:rRNA from 1 species
CCCUGGCUCAGGACGAACGCAGGCGGCGUGCUUAACACAUGCAAGUCGAGCGGUAAGGCCCUUCGGGGUACACGAGCGGCGAACGGGUGAGUAACACGUGGGUGAUCUGCCCUGCACUUCGGGAUAAGCCUGGGAAACUGGGUCUAAUACCGGAUAUGACCAAAGGCUGCAUGGCUUUUGGUGGAAAGGUUUACUGGUGCAGGAUGGGCCCGCGGCCUAUCAGCUUGUUGGUGGGGUAAUGGCCUACCAAGGCGACGACGGGUAGCCGACCUGAGAGGGUGACCGGCCACACUGGGACUGAGACACGGCCCAGACUCCUACGGGAGGCAGCAGUGGGGAAUAUUGCACAAUGGGCGAAAGCCUGAUGCAGCGACGCCGCGUGAGGGAUGAAGGCCUUCGGGUUGUAAACCUCUUUCAGCAGGGACGAAGCGAAAGUGAACGGUACCUGCAGAAGAAGCACCGGCUAACUA